rnacentral:misc_RNA from 1 species
GAUUCCCGCUACCCGCUUCUUCCCUUUUUCUAAGUAUUCUAUUAGAAUUCAAUUCUAAAAUAUAGAGAAUAGAGAAUAUAGUAUGUUUACGAUUAGUGUAUAAUUGAAUAUACAAUUCCAAAAAUUAUCUCACAUAUAAUCCGAUUUUUUUGUUUGCAAUUCAAGCACGAGGUCAAAAAAUCAAAAUAGGAAAAAAUCGAAUGAACUGCGUC